CCCCCUCGAGCCCCCUUUUGUCUCUUCGAUCGUUUUCUAGGGUUCCCUUUAGAGCUCCUCGUCGACGUCGCCUUCAGCCGCCGCGACCUGGGUUUCCUCGCUUCCGUCAUGGACGCCCAGAGAGCUCUCCUUGACGAACUCAUGGGUGCAGCACGAAAUCUCACGGAGGAACAGAAGAAGCGGUACAAGGAGAUCCGGUGGGACGACAAGGAGGUCUGUGGCGCGUAUAUGGUUCGGUUCUGCCCGCACGAUCUCUUUGUGAACACAAAGAGUGAUCUUGGAGCUUGCCCUAAAAUCCAUGACCCGAAACUAAAAGACAGUUUUGAGAAGUCUCCUAGGCAUGAUGCUUAUGUUCCCAGGUUUGAAGCAGAGCUUGCACAGUUCUGUGAGAAGCUGGUGAUGGAUUUGGAUAGAAAAGUUAAGCGUGGUCGUGAUCGGUUGGCACAAGAAGUUGACGCAACACCUGCUCCAGUCCCUGCCGAAAAAUCAGAACAACUCUCUGUGUUGGAAGAAAAAAUAAAGAAACUUCUAGAACAAAUUGAGACACUUGGUGAAUCAGGGAAGGUAGAUGAAGCUGAGGCACUCAUGAGAAAGGUGGAUAUGCUGAAUGCCGAGAAGACAGCCCUGACCCAACAAUCAGCAAAUGAUAAGGCUAUGAUGCUUCCACAAGAGAAGAAGAUGGCACUAUGUGAGAUCUGUGGUUCAUUUCUGGUGGCGAAUGAUGCUGCUGAGAGGACACAAACUCAUGUAAGUGGGAAGCAGCAUAUUGGCUACGGCAUGGUCCGAGAUUAUCUUAGUGAGUUCAAGGCUGUGAAAGAAAAGGCAAAGGAAGAAGAAAGACUAGCUAGGGAGAAGGAAACAGAUGAGCGGAAGAAAGUGAAGGAUAAGGAUCAUGAGAAUAGGGUUAGAGAGCGUGAUCCGGUUGGAAGAGAGAGGUCUAGGGAGCGGGAACGUGAACGUGAUAGGUAUAAAGACCGGAGCUCCGAGAGAGAGAGAUCAAGGGAUUGGAGUGGAAGAGGAAGCAGGGAUGGAGGAAGAGGAUUGGAUCGUAGGCAUGACUAUCACAGGAAUGGGAGGGAAUCAGACAGGGACAGGUUCCGAGACAGGUCUGGAGCACGAAGCAGAUCCAGAUCUCCUGCCAGGCAUGGUUAUAGAAGAUCAAGAAGUCCAGUUCGACAAUACUAGCUGUUAGUAUAAAUAGUUUGUCAAAAAGUACUGAGAUCCAAGAGCUCUGUUGAAGUCAUAUGGUCAUCCAAUUAAAAGAAAAACAUUGAGGUAGGUAUUACUGAUCCCUCCUUUUUUCUUAUAAAGUCAUUUUGAGCUGCAACUAUUAUAUCUUUCAUUUGUAUCUAUGGGCUCUUUCACAGAGUGUCAGAUUUUUUUUGUUUAGCAUUUUUUUUCAAUCAUAAUUAAGAUGACAGAUCCAAAAUGAUGACAUGAAUGGUGUGGCAAUGAAGAUGAUGAUUAUUAAUCAACCUAUAGAGUGCUGUUGAAUGUUCUUCGAGGCGGGAUUCCUCCACACAUUCUCAAUUCACCGUUCGUGUGUUCGCAAUGUUAUAUCUGUCUGCUCUAGAAUUUGGUUUCGUUGAACAUUUUGCUCUUGUAACUUGCUGCUAUUUGAGUUACGAGAACAUGAUAGAGCAUAAUGAAAUUAUGUGCGAAUUUUAAGGGUACGUUGGGGAGAUUUGUUGUCGCCCCUACUUAGGAAUCGACGCAAUGAUGCAACGCACGAUGAUGCCUGGGUGGGACUUUUCACUGAUAAUCUAUAAUCUCGGUCGAUGUUUCUGUACGUUUGAACGACUUACACAUGUACCGGAUCAAAGAGAUAAAAUUGAGCUUUAUUUGUGAUACG